rnacentral:rRNA from 1 species
UACGGAGGGGGCAAGCGUUGUUCGGAUUUACUGGGCGUAAAGCGCACGUAGGCGGAUCGUUAAGUCGGGGGUGAAAUCCUGGAGCUCAACUCCAGAACUGCCUUUGAUACUGAAGAUCUUGAGUUCGGGAGAGGUGAGUGGAACUGCGAGUGUAGAGGUGAAAUUCGUAGAUAUUCGCAAGAACACCAGUGGCGAAGGCGGCUCACUGGCCCGAUACUGACGCUGAGGCACGAAAGCGUGGGGAGCAAACAGG